rnacentral:rRNA from 1 species
AAAUGAAUAGACGGGGGCCCGCACAAGCAGCGGAGCAUGUGGUUUAAUUCGAAGCAACGCGAAGAACCUUACCUGGACUUGACAUCCCCUGCAUAUCUUAGAGAUAAGAGAAGCCCUUCGGGGCAGGGAGACAGGUGGUGCAUGGUUGUCGUCAGCUCGUGUCGUGAGAUGUUAGGUUAAGUCCUGCAACGAGCGCAACCCCUAUUGUUAGUUGCUAGCAGUAAGAUGAGCACUCUAACGAGACAGCCGCGGUUAACGCGGAGGAAGGUGGGGAUGACGUCAAAUCAUCAUGCCCCUUAUGUCCAGGGCAACACACGUGCUACAAUGGGCAGAACAGAGAGAAGCAAGACCGCGAGGUGGAGCGAACCUUGAAAACUGCUCCCAGUUCGGAUUGCAGGCUGAAACCCGCCUGCAUGAAGCUGGAGUUGCUAGUAAUCGCGAAUCAGCAUGUCGCGGUGAAUACGUUCCCGGGCCUUGUACACACCGCCCGU